rnacentral:rRNA from 1 species
CACGUAGGGGCCAAGCGUUGUCCGGAUUUAUUGGGCGUAAAGAGCUCGUAGGCGGCUCGGUAAGUCGGGUGUGAAACCUCCAGGCUCAACCUGGAGACGCCACCCGAUACUGCUGUGGCUAGAGUCCGGUAGGGGAGCGUGGAAUUCCUGGUGUAGCGGUGAAAUGCGCAGAUAUCAGGAGGAACACCGGUGGCGAAGGCGGGUCUCUGGGCCGAUACUGACGCUGAGGAGCGAAAGCGUGGGGAGCGAACAGG